GAUAGGCAGCUCCCUGGUCCAAUCACAGCGUUCGGUCCGGCGUGUUCCGCUUCCUCAUUGGACAGGUGGCCGGAGGGGGCGGGACGUUCGCGUCUGACUGGGAUCCUCGAGGCUGCCCGCGGUCAGGGGAGAAAAUCAUCAAAACCGGCCGUCAGCUUUAUUUCUGAGGGCUACCUCUGCCUGGGUGCUGACCUGAUGGGCUCCUUGUGAAGUACAUCACAGUAACACAAUGGUUCACAGUUCUGCCUCAGAGCCUGUGCAAGAAAGGCAGGGACCAUUCAAGUUGAGGGAGACUUCAGGCAAUCUUCCAAGGGAGAGUGGAUCAUCAACUUCCAGACAGACAGGAAGCAGCAUGUGAGGCUGGGAAAGCACAUCUCGGACCCGCAGACCUUCAGCAUAUGAGCACCGCAAGGCUGCAUACUCUCCCCUCUCCUUUACUCUGUCUACACCAACGGAUGCACCUCCACAGACUCCUCUGUCAAGCUUCUCAAGUUUGCGGAUGACACAAUCCUGAUUGGACUGAUCCGGGACGGGGAGGAAUCUGUCUACAGACAAGAAGUGACACAGCUGCCAUCCUGGUGUCUUCGUAACAACCUGGAGCUCAAUGCUCUUGAGACAGUGGAAUUGAAAGUAGACUUUAGUAGAGCUUCCCCUCCACUCUCCCCACUCACCAUCAACAACACCACAGUCAUAUCUGCUGAGUCCUUUAAGUUCCUUGGAAUCAUCAUCUCAAGGACCUUAAAUGGGAGGCCACCAUCGACUCCAUAGUCAAAAAGGCCCAACAGAGGAUGUACUUCCUGUGACAGCUGAAGAAACACAAUCUGCCACAGGCAAUGAUGGUCCAAUUCUAUACUGCCAUCGUAGAAUCUGUCCUCACCUCCAUCAUGGUCUAGUUUGGCUCAGCCAUGAAGCACGACAUCCGGAGGCUCCAGCGAAUUGUUCAAUCAGCUGAGAAGGUUGUUGGCUGCAACCUUUCACCCCAUUGACGAAGUGUACAUUGCAAGGGCCAGGAAGCGAGCGGGUAAGACCAUCUCUGACCCCUCUCAUCCUGGCCACUAACUCUUUGAAUCACUUCCCUCUGGAAGGCAAUACGGGACUGUCAAAGCCACCACAGCGCGACAAAAACAGCUUUUUUCCCACAAGCUCCACUCAAUAACCAGAAGUCUGAGCCUCUUUUUGCUCUGGUAUUUUAUUUCAUUCACAUGUUUAAACUAUAAUGUUUUAUUCUUAAUAUUGUAAUGUUUUAUGUUUUUAUCUUAAUGGUUUACUGUAUGUUGUGUUGUUACUUGUGAGCGGAGCACCAAGGCAAAUUCCUUGUUUCUGUACAUACUUGGCCAAUAAAUGUAUUCAUUCAUUCAUUGAACUUAUUUUUAUUGUUUAUUAUGGUAUCUACUGAGUACUAUGUUUACAUACCUGUUGUGCUAUUGCAAGUAAAAAUGUCAAUAAAAUACUCAUGACUCCAGCAACAUUUAAGGUCCUUGAGAAUCACCAACAGCAUUAACAGCAUGAAAUAUGGAGGUGGGCCUCACUGGCCAUCAAAGAUAUUUUGUGAGUGCAGCCAGCUGUUAGUGACAUACAGCCCCUGGAUUCUUCUGCUUUGUGCAUUGGUGCUGAAAUCUGCGCUUCCAGCAGAAGGUUCACUGGCAACUACUUUGGAACAACGAGCCUGAUUACAUGGGAGGUGGC